GGGAUGGGCUAAAUGGGUAAGGGGAAUUAAGGAAUCUAGUCCUGAAAUCAUUGUUGUACUAUAUGCUAACUUGGAUGUAAAUUAAAAACAAUAAAAGUUACUUGAUUUUUACCAGUGUCCAAUCCAGUAUUACUUCAUUGAUCAUUUGUCUCAAACCUUAAAGCUAGCACUCUUUUCAGUAGUGAAUGGAUUUCUGUUUUCCAAUACUGAUGGGAAUAUUCAAAUUGAAGAUUUACAUAUCAGAGAGAACAUUUAUCCCCAAAAUCGGGAUGAUCCUCCAAGUACAUAGAUUUGAAAUCAGAAACAGAUAUAAAUGUGAUGGAUAAAAGGAAAAAUAAAAACAGAUUCAUUUGAAAGCUUACCUAUGAAAGUAACAGGAAAUAAUCUUCCUUUCAGAGGAGAAAGUAGAAAAAUAAUUGUUGGGCUGCAGAAAGAGGCAGGUAAUCUCCUGGCUAUUUUAGGACUAAACAAGGAUGAAUGCAAUUGUGGUUUUUACCUCAUAUAAUCCAAAAGGAUCCAUGAAGACUGUGAACAUCAUAUAAUACUUGUGUUAAGAUUGAAAUGCAUCAAUCUGAAUUAGAAUGCUUUUUUUGUUUUAAUGUCAAGAAGAAUGAAAAUAAAUGCUGGACAUGAUACAGUUAUUUUGGAGGGCUGUUAUUUUCAUAGUCAUUAGAGCCAAUUUAAUCAAUAAAAUUGUUAAGUUUGAGAAAGGGAAGAAAAUCAGUUGUUAAUUUAUUCAGAAAGCACCCAUAAGGAAAAAGUAUAUGAGGAAAGUAAUUUGUUUUAAUAUAGGGCUAUUUUGUCAUUUAUUUCACAUACCUGAUGAAUAUAUACUGACAUUGGGGUAUUUCACUUUUAUUUUUACAACUAUGGAAUUUCACAGUACUACCCAAUUAUAGUCCAUGUUGUGGCUGCCUUUCCCAGAUUCAUUUAACCACCCAUGCUGUUUCCUUUCCUUCCACCAAAUCAUAAGCAUUUCUGUGGUUAGAUUGGAAUUGAACCCUCACUCGACCUCUAGGAUUAUCUCAUUCCCAUGGUGUAGUGUUUGGAUUUAGGACCCUGUCCAUCACCAAAUGACAUUUCUAAUCAACAGGGAUUGAUUCACUAAUAUGACAAGAUAGGAAGACCCUGAAUUCAUCUCCUUUAUAUAACACAGCAAAUUACAAUUAUAGAAGAAUUCCUGAAGAAGAAUGGAGAGCCAACUGAACAGCUUCCACACAAGGAAAGAGAGAAGAGUAAAAAAAGAAAAGCAAGAGAGAUGGAGAAAUGCCAACAAAGGGAACACCCACCUUUAACACUGCAAACUGCAGUGGGGAGGGAUAAUAUUGAGGGACACAGGAGAGAUUGCUUUGUCCUUAGGCACAGGAAAAAGGAAAAAAAAAGCUGCAACUGGUUUAUAAAAGAGCCAACCCUGGAACUCUAUCAAAUGGAGAAGCUACUAGAACUCUCUGGGUCAAAGGGACUGGAAAAUGACAUAAUUUAUGCACCCCCCCACCCCAUGUUGAAAGUGCAUACUGGAGCAGGGUCAGCACACCCUAACCUGAUUGAGCUUCAAACAAGGCCAAGUCCCCUAGGCCACACCAGCUCUGGUUGUGGUGAGGCACAGAAAAAAAAGCCAAAAAAAAAAAAGCCAGGGUUUAAAAGAAUAAUGAGCCUAUAAAAGAGCCAGCCCUAGAUCUCAAUCAAGUGGAGGAAGCUGCUGAAAUUCUCUCCGGGUGGGAGGGGCUGCUGGACACAAUCUGUGCUCCCCCUAUACCUUGACAGCAGGGACCAGUGGACAACCCAGGCGCCCUAACUGGCCUGGCACCUCCGUGAACCCUGGACCCCUAACUCACACCAGCUCCAGCUAUCCCACAAGAAGGCCACAGGGUGGUACACAGUGGGAUACCCCUGGUUAGUGCUUACUACUGAUCCAGCCUUUAAGCCAAGGUGACACAGGCACAAAGCACCAUGGAACGCUCCAGGCCCACACCACUUUACUUCAGACAGCUUGCUAGGGCACCCCUGGUUCAAAGUGCUCUAGAACCUGCUGUGCUGCCAGGGUGCCCCUGUAUAAAGCACCCCAAGAACCCCUGGCCCUUGCCUACAUUAUUUCCCUUUACCCGGCCAGGGGGUUACUUCCUGUUCGUGGAGUACAUUGGGGCACUCCCAUCCACAGUGGCCUCAACUCCAAUCAUAUGGCUAGGGCACCACCUGUGCUGAGCAUUCAAGGACAUUCAGCUUUUACCCACUUCAGGUGGCCGGUCAGGGCACCCUCAGAGUGGAGAGCCCCAGGACAAGGCAGCUUGCAAUCACUUCAGCUUCAGCUGUUCUGCCAGGACAGACUUUGCACAAAGAGCUCAGAGACCACACUGGCCCAUACCCACUUUAGAUUUAGCUGUCUUGUCAGAGUGUACCCUACACAGAGUGCCCCAGGACCCCCUGUGUGUACCCUGCCUCAGCUCUAGCCACCCACCUCUCCAGGGAACCCUGUGUGUGGAGACUCCUGGAACAUGCUGGUUUACACCCACUUCACAGCUUUACUUAUCCUGCCAAGGCUUCCUCUACAUGGAGAGCCUAGAGGCACCCAGCUUGCAUCCAGUUUAGCUUUAGCUGUCCUGCCAGGGCACCCAUGGUUUGGAGAGCCCAGGGACUGCACUGCUCUGUGCCCACUUAAACUUUAGCUGCCAUACUAGGGUGCUCACUGGGUGGAGAGCUCCAGGAUCCCCAGCCCAUGCCAGCCACAGUUCUAGCCAACCAGGAAAAGUGACCAAGAACACACAGUCUACAUAGGGGAUGACCAUACACAAGACCAUUCCUUUAAGUUCAGAAGUAGCUAUUCUACCUAAUCCACAGAGAAACAAAGUAUAGGAAAACAGGAAUAUUCUGCAAAAGAAUAAGACAAAGUUUCAGACAACUAAGUGAAAUGGAGAUAAGCAAUGUACCUGAUAAAAAAAACUUAAUGAUUGUAAAAAUGCUCACUGGGCUGCAGAGAAGACUGGGAGAAAGACCUUCAAUAAAAAUUAUACACACACACACACACAAACACACACACACACACACGUAUAUAAUAACCAAUCAGGGGUGCCUGAGUGGCUCAGUUGGUUAAGCACUUGACUC